GUCCAGCUGGAUCCGGCUGUGUCUGGCUGGAGCAGCCCUGGCUCCCCUCACUGAGCUACCGCAAUUUCCGCUGCUGCUUCUGUGCCCCGGCACCUCCUACACAGGUCAUGGUUUAAUAGGCUUCAUGGGCUGCAAAUUCAAAUUCCUUGACCAUUUCAGGUGUGAAAGCAGUCUCUUCUGGAACAAGUCAGUUGGUCAAGUAAUUUCUUCCCCGAAGGGUACGCUUGUGUUCUAGGAAGAAUUAGCGCAGAGAAACCCAGUUGCCUGAGAGAAAGACCUGCUUCACAUCAGCCUCAAAACUGAAGCAAUCUAUGAGCCUAGUGUCUGAAGUUAAAAGACUAGUACUGCAUAAAGCAUAGCUGAAAUCAGACUAGAAAUCUAAGCUUCCCCAGAAGCAUGUACAAUAUUUAGUUGUGCUGAGAACAGUUCAAAAUUAUGGGUUUUGAAAAGUCAAUAAUAAUCUCAUGGAGAUGAGGCAGGGAUAGAUGACCCUUCCGAUAUAAGGAAUAUAGAAAUAAGAGAAGUGCUGAAGUCAUGGAAACCAGCUCUUGGACUCCAGAAUGACACAAACAAAGGAAGAAGUGUGUUUUUCAUCCAGCCAGCAGUCAGAAGGGUUUAAGUAUUCCAGGCAGUACAGGCGGAUGUUUAAAAGGCAAAAUUCAAAGGAGAAAAGAAACUAAAGCCCCUUGUUGCUACACAUUCACUAUAAAAAAGCAAAGGUAGCCUGAGGCCAAAAAAAUAAAGCUGUGCUAGAUGUAGGUAUUUUAAGCAGAUGGACCCUGAAUUGUAAAGUACAGAAAGACAGAAAGAAAGCUAGUAGGAAAGAUACCAAUUGACAUCUGUCCUGUGAUCAGCAUAUACUAGUUGAAACAGAACAGUCAAAUAAGAUGUGUUUACCAACACUGUGAAGCCAUGGUCCUGAUAAGAAAUCUGACCAAUACUUAAUAAAGUCCAGUCAUUAUUCAUAAAC